rnacentral:rRNA from 1 species
GGGAUAGCCCAGGGAAACCUGGAUUAAUACCGGAUGAGACGGGACCUGCGAUGGCGGGAUCCGGGAAAGGCGCUACGGCGCCGCCGGGGGGAUGAGUCUGCGUCCCAUUAGCUAGACGGCGGGGUAACGGCCCACCGUGGCGACGAUGGGUAGCCGGCCUGAGAGGGUGACGGCCACAUUGGAACUGAGACACGGUCCAGACUCCUACGGGAGGCAGCAGCUAAGAAUCUUCCGCAAUGGGGCGAAAGCCUGACGGAGCGAACCGCCGCGUGAACGAAGAAGGCCGUGAGGUUGUAAAGUUCUUUUCGGGAGGGGGAACAACCGUGGCAGGGAAUGGCCGCGGGAUGACGUGAAUCCCGGAAUAGGCCCCGGCUAACUACGUGCCAGCCGCAGC